AGCUCCGGGCACAGCUUUCGCGCCCCUUUCCCGCAAACGGGAGGGAGGGGAGCAGAAAGAGCGGGACCCGCGUGCAGCCAGGCGCAGGAGUUAUUGAUGACAGGGAUCCGGGUCUCCAGGUCCAGAUCAAGGGCUGGAGCUGGAGCUGGACGAGGAUGAAGAAGAGGAGGAGGAUGGUGACAACUUGCUCAAGUCCAGCUCAGAGUCUGAAUCAUCCUCGUCCUCCAGUUUCACUGGUGGGACACUCCGGGACAGAGGAGCUGUAUCUGAAGAGCCUACGCGUACUUCAUAGUCUUGUGAGGAGCAUCUGGGCGCAGGGGUGAUGGUGAAGCAGUACGUGAGGUACACUGCUGGUGCAGCAGUGGAGUGGAGCAUCGCGACAGGGAUGCGAGCAAAAGUGCGGAAGCGAUCCCAGUGAAACUGCAUGUUGUCAGGGUCAUACUCCACACCAAAGGCUCAGUUUAUGUAGCCCCGGAUGGCUGGAACACAUGAGAUCUGCCUGUGUCUGUACCCCAGUGCUGGUGUGCACCAAUUUUGCCUAACUUACUUUUUUUUUUUUUUAUCCCAUUAGAUUUCUCAAGAACAUGUAAAUAAAUACCUUUAUUUCAGGAAGUACAUUCAAAUACAUCAAAGGAUGAAGCUAAUAUUCACUGACUUUAAUGCCUGGAAUUUCCAAUUAGGCCAAAACUACUAAGAAAUUAGUACUCACUGCUACAUCAGACCACUAAACCAUUAGAAAAGUGAGACAUUUACAUAAAUAGGAUUGUUUGAGUACGCCUUAAGAAAAGUCACUGGAGUUAAGUAUGGUUAUUAACAGGUCUUGACAUAUAUUACUUCUUCUGACUUACAGAGUCUUAAUGUAGAUUCCAUAAUACAUAGGGAGGUAACAUUAUAGUAACCAUGAUUGAGGAAAGACAAAGGCUUCCUGCCUUUGACUUAGCUGUCCAUCUGGAAUUCCUUAAACAUUUGAUUAUAGAACUAAGUAGUUUGCUACAGACAUUUAAGAACCAGUUUCUUAUUUAACAUAAAAUUUCUGGUGAUGAGGGCUAAUCAAGUCCCAAAUGAAGCUUUUGAUGUUUUCAUCCCCACGGUAGUGUAGAAGACAGUACACGAGGAUGGCACGGCAUAUUGUCUCAACAUCUCUUUCAGUCAUGCGCCGCUUAAAUCGUCCGUGAGACAAAAUAUCUCUCCAACGUCCCCAACUAACAAAACAGGAAAAGUAAGCAACACAAAUAUUUUGGGGGACAUUCGAAUUCAGUGAUAUUUAUUUCCCUGGUUCCCAGAAUUGCCAUCUCCUCCAAGAGUAGAAAAUAAACAGAAACUCUGUCACAGGCCAAGUGUCUUUCAUGUGGUGCUUCUUGGCCACGUUGUCCAUGGUGAAAGUCAGGCAGCAUGCACAUGCCCUACUGCUCACAGAAAGCUGCAUCUUACCCAUAUACCAGGAGAUGCUUUUCUACCCGGAAGCAGUCAGUGCGCCCAUAGGUGUGAUGCCGGUCAUGUCUUCGGGAACGUGGCCGUUCAUCAUCUUCACUUUCCAAAUCAGAAAACUCAACCAGGUCAUCAUCUUUCAAAGUGCUGAAGUGUCGAGUCUGUUUCCGAACUCGAGGUGUGUCGAUCACUAAGUUAUUCUAUAUAGAAAAAGGACAUAGAACUAUGAUAUGCUAAUAUGACGUAAUCUUGAAUUUGAAUAAGUUACCAAAGUACUCAAAUUUUUAGAGAAUGUAAAACAAUCUACAAGGCUCAGGAAGAAAAAGAGGUGGACAUCUGUGGAUCAUAGCUUUGAAUGCUUUGUCACUGAGAACUGGCACUAUUAGAAAGUAUAAGGACAUGUGGCCUUGUUGGAGGAAAUGUGUCACUUGUGAUGAGCGUUAAGCUAGGUCAAGUGUCUCUCUUUUCCUGCUGCCUUUGGAUCCAGAUGAAGAACUCUUGAGCUACCAUGUUUGCUUGCUUACCACCACGCUUCUGGCCAUGAUAAUAAUGGACUAAACCUCUGAAACUGUAAGCAAGCAUCAAUUAAAUACUUUCCAUUAUA
rnacentral:lncRNA from 1 species